rnacentral:ncRNA from 1 species
UUCUGCUAGGGGCAAGCCCAAUCGAAAGAUGGGUACGCAAAGCCACCGGCCUAAGGCGUCUUGUGGACGCUAAGGCAGCGGGGUUGCCAGA